CAUAUUUUUCACUCUAGCAAUGUCAUUUUAACUUGCUAUUAGAUAUUUAAGAUGUUGUUGUUUUUGAUGCAUAUUUGUAACAUAUCUGUGUAGAAACACAGAAUACAUAAUUACAGAAUUUCCUACUUUUCUUGUGUAUAAAAUAAAAAAGCCAUCUAGACAAAUGUGGAUACUACAUGUAUCUACCUAUUAAUUACGGUUUCAUCAUUAUUCAGUUAGGCGCAAUGUGCUAACGACCUGUGAGAUGCUGUCAAAGGACAAACAGCUGAAGCAAACAGUCGGUGUUUGCGUUGGCGCAGCCUCUGUGUGAUCAACUCGUCGCGGUGGUCGUGUUUUCUGCGCCGACGACGCUGUUACGUUUGGGACAAUUUUGAAACGGAAUAAAAAUGUAAUAAUAUAUUAUAUUAAUUUAAACAU